rnacentral:rRNA from 1 species
AGGACGAACGCUGGCGGCGUGCUUAACACAUGCAAGUGGAGCGACGAACCAGGGCUUGCCCUGGGGCAGAGCCGCGAACGGGUGAGUAACACGUGGGUUACCUGCCUCGAUGACCGGGACAACCCGAGGAAACUCGGGCUAAUACCGGAUGUGCCCGCAAGGGGAAAGGAAGCUUCGGCCUCCGCAUCGAGAUGGGCCCGCGGCCCAUUAGCUUGUUGGUGAGGUAACGGCUCACCAAGGCUUCGAUGGGUAGCUGGUCUGAGAGGACGAUCAGCCACACUGGGACUGAGACACGGCCCAGACUCCUACGGGGGCAGCAGUGAGGAAUUUUCCGCAAUGGGCGCAAGCCUGACGGAGCAACGCCGCGUGCAGGAAGACGGUUUUCGGAUCGUAAACUGCUUUUCUCGGGGACGAGAACGGACGGUACCCGAGGAAUCAGCCCCGGCUAACUACGUGCCAGCAGCCGC